AUUGAACGCUGGCGGCAGGCUUAACACAUGCAAGUCGAGCGAGCCGCGGUCUUGUGAGUAAUUUCUGGGAAACUUCCUGAUGGUGCGGUAUACCUUCUGGAAACUGUAGCUCAUACCUCAUACCAUCAUCUGUUCCCAGUUUGGCUUAGCUAGUAGGUUGGGUAAUGGAUCACCUAGGCGAAGAUCCCUAGCUGGUCUGAGAGGAUGACCAGCCACACUGGAACUGAGAAACGGUCCAGACUCCUACGGGAGGCAGCAGUGGGGAAUAUUGCACAAUGGGCGCAAGCCUGAUGCAGCAAUGCCGCGUGUGGGAAGAAGGCCUUCGGGUUGUAAAGCACUUUCAGCGAGGAGGCGUUAAUCGAAGAAGAAGCAACGGCUAACUCCGUGCCAGCAGCCGCGGUAAUAG
rnacentral:rRNA from 1 species